rnacentral:rRNA from 1 species
UUGAACGCUGGCGGCAGGCCUAACACAUGCAAGUCGAGCGGUAACACAGAGAGCUUGCUCUCGGGUGACGAGCGGCGGACGGGUGAGUAAUGUCUGGGAAACUGCCUGAUGGAGGGGGAUAACUACUGGAAACGGUAGCUAAUACCGCAUAACGUCGCAAGACCAAAGUGGGGGACCUUCGGGCCUCAUGCCAUCAGAUGUGCCCAGAUGGGAUUAGCUAGUAGGUGGGGUAACGGCUCACCUAGGCGACGAUCCCUAGCUGGUCUGAGAGGAUGACCAGCCACACUGGAACUGAGACACGGUCCAGACUCCUACGGGAGGCAGCAGUGGGGAAUAUUGCACAAUGGGCGCAAGCCUGAUGCAGCCAUGCCGCGUGUGUGAAGAAGGCCUUCGGGUUGUAAAGCACUUUCAGCGGGGAGGAAGGCGGUGAGGUUAAUAACCUCAUCGAUUGACGUUACCCGCAGAAGAAGCACCGGCUAACUCCGUGCCAGCAGCCGCGGUAAUACGGAGGGUGCAAGCGUUAAUCGGAAUUACUGGGCGUAAAGCGCACGCAGGCGGUCUGUCAAGUCGGAUGUGAAAUCCCCGGGCUCAACCUGGGAACUGCAUUCGAAACUGGCAGGCUAGAGUCUUGUAGAGGGGGGUAGAAUUCCAGGUGUAGCGGUGAAAUGCGUAGAGAUCUGGAGGAAUACCGGUGGCGAAGGCGGCCCCCUGGACAAAGACUGACGCUCAGGUGCGAAAGCGUGGGGAGCAAACAGGAUUAGAUACCCUGGUAGUCCACGCCGUAAACGAUGUCGAUUUGGAGGUUGUGCCCUUGAGGCGUGGCUUCCGGAGCUAACGCGUUAAAUCGACCGCCUGGGGAGUACGGCCGCAAGGUUAAAACUCAAAUGAAUUGACGGGGGCCCGCACAAGCGGUGGAGCAUGUGGUUUAGUUCGAUGCAACGCGAAGAACCUUACCUGGUCUUGACAUCCACAGAACUUUCCAGAGAUGGAUUGGUGCCUUCGGGAACUGUGAGACAGGUGCUGCAUGGCUGUCGUCAGCUCGUGUUGUGAAAUGUUGGGUUAAGUCCCGCAACGAGCGCAACCCUUAUCCUUUGUUGCCAGCGGUUAGGCCGGGAACUCAAAGGAGACUGCCAGUGAUAAACUGGAGGAAGGUGGGGAUGACGUCAAGUCAUCAUGGCCCUUACGACCAGGGCUACACACGUGCUACAAUGGCAUAUACAAAGAGAAGCGACCUCGCGAGAGCAAGCGGACCUCAUAAAGUAUGUCGUAGUCCGGAUUGGAGUCUGCAACUCGACUCCAUGAAGUCGGAAUCGCUAGUAAUCGUAGAUCAGAAUGCUACGGUGAAUACGUUCCCGGGCCUUGUACACACCGCCCGUCACACCAUGGGAGUGGGUUGCAAAAGAAGUAGGUAGCUUAACCUUCGGGAGGGCGCUUACCACUUUGUGAUUCAUGACUGGGGUG